rnacentral:rRNA from 1 species
GACGAACGCUGGCGGCGUGCCUAAUACAUGCAAGUAGAACGCUGAAGGAGGAGCUUGCUUCUCUGGAUGAGUUGCGAACGGGUGAGUAACGCGUAGGUAACCUGCCUGGUAGCGGGGGAUAACUAUUGGAAACGAUAGCUAAUACCGCAUAAUAGUAGAUGUUGCAUGACAUUUGCCUAAAAGGUGCAAUUGCAUCACUACCAGAUGGACCUGCGUUGUAUUAGCUAGUUGGUGGGGUAACGGCUCACCAAGGCGACGAUACAUAGCCGACCUGAGAGGGUGAUCGGCCACACUGGGACUGAGACACGGCCCAGACUCCUACGGGAGGCAGCAGUAGGGAAUCUUCGGCAAUGGACGGAAGUCUGACCGAGCAACGCCGCGUGAGUGAAGAAGGUUUUCGGAUCGUAAAGCUCUGUUGUAAGAGAAGAACGAGUGUGAGAGUGGAAAGUUCACACUGUGACGGUAUCUUACCAGAAAGAGACGGCUAACUACGUG